GCUCCGCGCUCGGAAAGCGAAACAAGAAAUAACGUGCAGGGUCCGUGCAGGUCCGCACUGCAACAAGGCAACAUGUGUACGCCUAAAAGCCCCGAAAUUAAAUCCAGGUUGAUCCCAAUUUAAAAGAGGAGAGCGAGGGAGCGGGAGCCGGCUCUUUGAGUGGGUGAGAAAAAGAGGGGAAGAGAUGAGUAGCUGGUAAUUAUUGAAAUAUAAGGAUGAGAUUAAUUCAAAGGAAACAAACUAUGAAAACAAUUGGAGCCGAGUGAAAAGCAAAACCCAGAUUAGAAUUUGCUUGUGGUUUGUUGUCUGUCUGCUUUCUUUCCUCCUCCCCACCCAUUGUCACAGUGCAAGGCAAUGGGAUUUGCACACUUGAGGUGUAAUAGCAUUACUGCAUUAAUUAAAAUUUUCAUUUCACGUCCAGAUUGUUUACUUAUCUGCUGGAAACAUAUGUCGGGAGAAGUUGAGAUUCUGGAUUCUGCUCCGCUGCCCAAGGUGCAGCGCAGUACAGGGGGGGAGAGGAUGACUUCAGAUUUUUUUUUCAUUGCAUCCUCCAGCCUUAUCUCUCCGCUGUAAAUUAUAAGGAGACUCCAUUGAACUGAAUAUGAAGAUUAUAUUUGCGAGCGGCGCGUCCUGGAGCGGCCCCGGUCCCACUUGGAAAUGAAACAAGGCGCCUUGCCGGCCCCCGAGCCCCCCCUCUCCUCCCUCCCCGUGCGGCCGCAGCCCCCCGGGACCGGGGAGGGUCCGCGUGGGACCCCCCGACCCCCGCUGGGUGCCGGGGGAGGGCGGGAAGGAGGGAGCGAGAGCCGCGAUGCUCCGCGCUCCUCCCGCGGGGUCCCCUCGCUCCAGCCCGGGAGGCGGCGCGGAGAACCGGGAGACUCUCCCCCCUCCCAAAAGCUGCCCUUUGGAAAGCGGGCCCCCCAAAAACACGGCCGGGAGGAGGGGGCAACCCCCUGCCCUGGCGGCGGGACAGCGGCGGGGUCGCGCCGUCGGUGCGGGCGCUGCGGGGCCGCGGCGGGGCCGGGGAUGCUCGAGCGGCCGCAGCGCUCGGUGGGAACCGGCUGUUUAUCCGCUCCCCCCCAUCUCCCCCUCCCCUCUUUUUGGGGGUGUUUAAUUUUCCUAUUUUCUGCCCUUUUUUUUUUUUUUUCUUUCCCUUUUUAAGAGCCCCCUGAGAAGGCAGCGAGGUGCCGUCCUCUCCGCCGGGUCUAUCUGUAAUUGAAUCUAGGUCAGUUAUUCUAAAGCAUGGGAGAGGCUGAUUCCCUCUUUCCGACAUCAGCCCGGAAUUUGGGAGGCGGGAGGGGGGGAGGAAAGGAGGAGAGGGGGGUCUUGCAAUUUCAUUUAAAAUGUAAUGGUGGAUGAACCGAUAAGCAAAUAGGGGGAAAAAAAGGCUCUGCUUAAAAGAAAAAAAAAAAAAAAAAGGCAUGCUUUUAAUAUGCUUCCAGAUGGGGGGAAAAUGAUUUACAUGGGAGUUUAUUUCCUCUUUGCUGAUAUGAAAGAAUUACAGAUACAAAACCCACUGAUCUAUAGAAUAAAAAAAAAAAAAAAAGAAAAGAAAUGUUAUUUUCCUGUAAAGGUAUCAGUUCAUUUAUAUUCAUUUAACCAUCCAUCCAUCAAUUCACUUUCUCACUCCCUGCACAUUCUCUCUGCCUCUGGUAAACCUACCCCACCAAUAUACUUUUCUAGAAUAUACAAUGAAGUUUCCUUAAAAAAAAAACCAAACCAGAAAUGAGAUGAGAUUCAGCUAGAAGUAGGUAAAGUGAAGUUUCCCUUCUCCCCCCCCUCACCAGCUCCUAUUUUAUGCUACAGACUUUGAGCAAAUUAGCAAAACGAAAAAGAAAAUGGUUUAGUUGGGAGGAAAAAAAAAUGUCUGUGUAUAUCUCUGAAUAAUAUAUGCAACAUAGAUGUUCUAUAUGUGUCUAUAUGUAUAUAUAUCUAACAGAGAGAGAGCGGAGUUUGUGUGCUCAACAUGUAUGUGCUGCGUCUCUGUGCUUCUGUGAUACAAACAGUUCAUUCUCUGCCUCUAAAAUAAAAAUAUACACAUAUUGUACAGAUAUUUACAGCAUUCAUAUAUCCCAAGUGCACGGACACAGAUUUAAACACACACCCAGGCUGUGCGUGCCGGAGAUAUGCACGAUAUAUGUGGUGCCCACGCACAUGCAAAGGCAACAUCCCUCUGAACUGGAGCAGAGCCUUUGGAUUUAAGCAGAAAAUAUUUCCCCAAGUGUCCUUUGGGAGCGGAGAGGCACAUACGGUGCUGGAUGGCAGUGGCUCGUAUUUUGGGUCGUGUAUUGGUGUCGAUAUUUCGAGUCAGCCCGGCGGCCUCCAACCUCCCGAAUCCAGGGGCCACGGCUGUGUUAUUCUGCGUUUCGGACGGUAUUUAAAUCUGAGGUUUAAUUUCCCUUUUAGGAGUAGUGACUGGAGGGCAAACCCCUCUCGUUAACACCUCCAAGGAUUAAAACAACCCCCCCCCCCCGGCUGAGCUCUUCCCGGUGGGGACAGAGGUGACUUCUUUCUUCCCGUGCUCCCGGCGUGACGGCCCUUCCUCUCAGGAAUAGUUCCAAGGAGGACGAGCCCGUGUUCCCAAAGCCAGAGGCUGCUGAACCACCCGGCGUUUCCCGGAGACCUUCGCCGAGGCUGGAAGUGGAGGGGUGUGGAAUAACUUCUUUUUCUGGUUUGAAUGUAGUAGCAACAGCUGUGUAAGAAGUUGCUUCUUUUAUUGUCAAGAGCAGGUAAAUAGAGAGACUGCCAGAUAUGGAAAUACCUCUCUAUACAGAUAAAAUAUAUGUCUUUAUCUCCAGCUAGAUACGGAUAUGGAUCCGCACGGAAUUUUCCUCGCGGCCGCCUCAGCCGGCGCUCGGGGGGGGGUCCUCGCCAGCCUUUUUCAAAACUCCAGGUAUAAAUAAAGGCAGCAGCCAAUCACCCCCAGAUCAAAGGAGCUGGUGACAAGGCAGGUGGAUCCCUGCCCUGCGCAGGUCCCCCACGCAGCCCUGAGCCACAUCAAAGGCUGCAGUGCCCGCGCUCGCACCCGCAGCGACACCUGAAACGCUGCUCCUGCCUCGUGCUCCCAACCCCACCUGCACAAACACACAGUCACAUCACAGCACAAUUAACAGUGCUAUCACCACCAAGGACUCGGAAAGGAAAGGCUGUUGAAAGAGAGUUCCUCAAGAUAAUCCUUUUAAAAGGUUCCCUUAAAAUGCAACCACUAGCGGGGAAUAAGGCAGGUUUAGUUCCAACAGCUUAAUACCUCUGGGUAGCAGAGUUUUAGAUCUUGUUCAUGCCUUUCCUUUAGUAGUGGUUUGACUUUUGAUUUGGGACUUGUGCUUUUUGGAGGAUCUCGUUGCUCUUGUGGUUCUCAAGAGAGAAGGUCCUGGAGGAGGCCCAGCCCGGCUCCCCUUUCCUGUUGACCCGUCGGGGACUCACAUCCUUGUUUCUGUUGGAAAUCAGAGGUGGUCACAUCCUGGCUGUGCUGGUGUCCCACGCUUUUGUCUAAUGACCCAUUUGAGCAAUUUUCAGGGUGCUGCUUAAUUUGUUUUUUUCUUACCCUGGAUGAUCCCCCAACUCCUGGGCCAUGGAAAGGGGUCCAGCUGCUGCCCAGCUCUUUCCUCGGCGGUGUCACUCCACUCCUCCGUGGUGCUCCAAGAACUCCUGUGUGGCAUCACUGCCAGGGGGGUGAGUAAAUCACUUUAUUUUUGGAUUUUACAAAUGAUGUCUGUGUAAAAUAAGGCAAACUGCAUGUCUAGGGGGAUAAAUAGGCAACAGUGGGCUCUGCCUGAUGCUCUCCCCAACCUUCUUCCUCAGUCUCUCAUCCCAUGAGCUCUUCCCAUGGUUGUUUUUUGCACCCUCACAUUUCUCAGGCUGCGUGGAGAGGGCAAAAGCUUGAGAAGCUGGGACCACACAGCAGAGCAGAUCCCUGUUAGGAAGCCCUGGGAGCACCCAGCCUUUUGCUGUCACUGCUUGUCUAGAGCUUCCAGCCAGGAUCCAGCCUGCUGGUUUGCAGCAGGAAAAGUUUAGAUUGGUGAAAAAAGCCAUCAAAUUGGCAUAGAAAUAAGUGAGGGCUUUAGGAGCAAGAAACGAUGGACACAUCUCCCCAAGAGCAAUGAUUAAAAAAUUCAAAAUGAAAAAAAUGAAAUUCAGUUAAAUCAGGUAUUUUUUACUCCUUUCUCUUACAAGUGUGGACAGUCCUUCACACUGUCCCACUGAGUGUCUCUGUUGGUGACAGGUUUGGUGUCCAAUCUCUCUAACCCCACAAGGCCUCUGGAAAACCAGGGAUCUCCAUUCCCAGCAAGGUGUGGACCCAGCUGUUUUGUGGCAGUGGUGUUGGAGGGCAAAUCAGGUUGAGAGCAAUGUAAAAGGUUUUUUGGGAUGCUCCAGCUGGCGCUCGGAGCUGAUCUGGGAGUCUGGCACUGGCAGGGCUUGCCCAGAGAGGUCAGAUGUGGUGCCACCAGUGCUCAGACCCUCCCUGUGAGGGACAAUGGUGACACAUUUUGGGUCUCCCAGGGGAGCAGGGUCAGGUCCUGGUGGCUCAAAUGAUCUCAGCUCUGCAAUGAGGCUGCAAACACGGGAAACACGGAGCUGCCGCUCGUCACCCGCGGGGCAGCCGAGGGCUGGCACUGGCACUGCCUGGUGGGACGGGCAGGGAGGGGGAGGCAGCACCAGAGGCCACCUCUGAGGACACCCAGGAGGCAGAGGGGGUUCUGUCCAUCACUGAUGAGCUCUGUGUCCCCGAGGGCUGAGCUGGGUCUCCGUCACCCGUCCGUGAUGAGCUCUGUCCUCGUGGUCCUGUGGUCCUCGUGCUGUUCCCCAGCAAAGCUUCCCAAUCCAGACCCCCUCUGCUGUGAGGGACUAAACUGCCCUUCACUCCCUGCUCCUCUGCUGUGAGGGACUAAACUGCCCUUCACUCCCUGAUCACCCAAAUUUUAUUUUUCCCGGUUUAUCUUUUAUCUGUAGCUGCACUAACACAUCCAGACUUUCUUCGCUGUUUUUUUUUUCCAGCAAGGUUACAGACCUCUGGGUUUGAGUGUUUAAUUGUUUCUAAUUCCUCCAAAUUUCCAGGUAGGCAUUUUAAUGCCUGCCUCCUUCCUUCCCUGUGAGCUAUUAACACGAGGCAUUUUUUUUUCCCUGACAUAGACAAGGGUUUUUCCACCUCUCCUUCUUCUCCAUCCAGCCCCACUCACACGGGAACUCCCCCAGCAGGCAGUGAAAGGAAAAAGGGAAUUAGAUCUUUAUCAGAGCCUUACUUUCACCCAAGAUUUCCUUAGAACAGUAAGUUGAGGACAACAGAAGCCAAACAAAUGAUUUCUCUUCUACCUGGAAAUAAUCCCCCUGCAGCCAAAAGUAUUCCCUCUCCUCCUCUGGAGACAAGCUGGAGGUGGUGUGACUACAAGUCCUUCUCUUGGACGUACCAGCAUCACUCCCUUGUGGUGGUUUGAUUUCACUUGUUCUCUCCCUGGCCACAGAAUGCCAGAGAAGACAAAAACUAAAUUUCUAACUGGAAAAAAAAAAAUUAAAAAAAAAAGAUAGAAAAAUAGGGGAAAAAAAUUAAAUCCCAGCGUUGCUUCGAAUCCCUGCCAACUUCUCAGGCCUUCAUAACUCAGCCAAAAAUAAGGCCACAAACCCAUUUUUCUUCAUUUGCAGGUCACCUUGAAGGGUUGAUGAGGAGCUCUUUUCACAACGUUUCUUUCAAGAGGGUUUCAGUGAGGAAAGCAGCAGCGACUGAAAUUCCCCCUUUCCUUACAGCUCCUGAGUUUUCUCUUGAGGGUUUACAAACACCUGGACAAUUCCCCAUCCUGGAUUUUCCACUCCAUUGUGGCAACACGAUCUGACUCGAGGUACUGCAGAGGUUUGGCCUGGACGUGCUUUACCAUAACUUUUUAACCACCCCUUGGCCUCCCAGCCCACAUGUUCAUGUCCAAGUGGCUGCAGGGCUGGAGGAGAUGCCCACAGAGAAAUGGGGGAGCCUCCGUUUUCCGCAGCCCCUCCGGGAGAUCUCCAGGAUGUUCUGGCCACAAGCACCUUCCCAGCCAAGCAGCUGCAUCCCAAAGCAUGAGAAGGAGGUGCAGAUUAGAAUGAGGAGUUGCUCUGAUGCCUUCUCUCCCGGGGGCAGAUGGUGCUCAGUGGCAUCAGCGUGUUUCUCUCUGUGCUCCUCCAUGAGGGUGAACCAUCAGGGUGGGACCAACUGGGGUCCCACAGGUCCCUUCCCUUUCAGGGGUACUGGGAGCAGCCUCUGCCUGGAGAGAAACCAUCCAGAAGGUCAAACUGUAUAUGAGCUUUAGUUUAGAGAAUUGAUAAGUGAGGAGAAAACCUUCCCCUCCACCCCUCCACCUACACAUGUACAGACACCCCCCCCACACAUGUAUAUAAACAGAUCUCUUUAAAUUUAAAUAGAUUUAUGCCCAAGGACAGGAGGGUGGAUAUGAGGCCAUUACAAAGAAAGAAGAUGUAACACACCCUUAUGCUCUUUUGUGGGGAUUAAAUCUAUAGCAGGUUGCAGCCAGUGCUAAUACUCCUAUUAAUUUCUAUUUUUCAUUGUUGUUUUCACAUUUGUCAGGCUUUGAUGAAGGGAUAAUGAAGGGAAUGGAUGUUAACUGCAAAUUAAUCAUCCCUGCCUUGAGAGCCUAACACGGGUUCCUAUUUGCUCACCCUCUUCACACUUCCUCCAUCCCUCCCAGCAGCACCUGCUGGAGGCUGUGACAGAGCAGAGAAAGAAAGGAAAAGGAAGAGAGGGAAACCUUGUCUGAGAAACUUCCAAUGCUCCUUGAAAUUGCUGAAUUUGAAUUGUAAGAAAGCUGAGGAAGUUGAGCCCAUGCUGGUUUUGCAAGGGGAGCUUGUCGGGAACCACGUAUUGACCAUGGGCAGGUCGGACCUUCAGUUGUGUUCAACAUCAGAGCUUUUGGGGGGCUGUGUUUUAGCUGGAAUGUGUCUCUGGCCAUGGCAGGGGGUUGGAAUGACAUGAUCUUUAAGGACCUUUCCAACCCAAGGCAUUCUGUGCCUCUGUGGCUCUGUGGUUGAUGCUCGUUGCUCAGGGAGGGACAGAUCUAUUUGUGACGUAUUUACAAAUGUUCAGGCUUGUUUCCUUGCUUGCUUGCUUGGUUUGCAAACUUUCUUGCUUUGCUUUGAGCUUGAUGUCCAUGAGCCUGGUCUUGUUGUGGUAGCUGGUGUUUGGGAGGCUGGAGGUUCCCUCGUGCCAGCAUGGAUGGGAACAGACUCGGGGAAAUCCCAGUUCCCCCAGUCCCGUGGGAGUGAGGCAGAGUCAGAGAGUGCCCAGCCCUGGUGACACAGCAGCUCAUGGAUCCCCAGUGACACAGCAGCUCAUGGAUCCCCAGUGACACAGCAGCUCAUGGAUCCCCAGCCUGGAUACCCUGCCAGCAUCCCCUGGGCCAACACUCCUGCUGUUUUAGGGAAGCAGCACUGCCUGUUCUUUAUGGAGAAGUGUGUUGGGGCUGCCCACUGUGCUCUCAUGUGGGAAGACUCCAGGACUGAGGGGGAAGAAGCCCCACAGACCCAUCUGCUCAAACCCAGCAACAUCUGCUGAAUCAACAAAAAGCUGAAACUCAAAACCAGUUCCCAGCACACUUGGACACACUGCAGAGGCUCCAGAGACUCAGAGGAGGCAGCAGGAGGUUUGGAUUUCACUUGCCACUCUUUCCUGGCUAGAGAGUUGUCCCCUGAGAGCACAUGUAAUGCUACAACCCCCCUGUAUUUGCUGCAACGUUGGGAAUUAGCAGCAGAAAUCCUGAUGCUCCCGGUGAGGAUGCCACGGAUUCUGAGCAGCCUUGCCAAAAAAUUCCUCCCCCGUUGCCCUCCCGCUGCAAAUAUGUCAUUUUGCCCCGAUGCCAUCACUGGUUGCCUCCAUCCCAACCUUCUGGGCAGGUUUAUGACUGGAAUUAAGAAUGUAUUUUCCUAUCUUCCAUGUUUCCCCAGGUCCCUGAAGGCAGCGGGUGCUGCUGGAGAAGGUGGAGCUGGAGAUGACACCACAAGAGCCACUGGAGCACAGUGCAAAGAGUCUCCUCUCCCUGACCUUGGGGCAUGCUCAGGUCCCAGCUGGAUUUGUAUCCCUCAGGCAGUUUCUGUCCAGGGGAAGCACGAGGAGUCCCAUGUUGCUGCAGGUUGGAUGUCCUGGGAGCUGGGGAGGUCCCAGCUGGUUCCUCUUGUUGCCACACACUGACCUGCUGCUUCUGUGGGAGCUGCAUUCCCUCAGAGACAUCAGUAGCAUCCAGGAAGUGGCUGGUUUUCCCCCAGCUCCCACCUUUUUGGGCUCCCAGAGCUCCCAUUUAGACUGCAGAGAGCAGGGCAGCAAUGUUUGUGAGCUGUUCUAAUGCUGGGUUUAGCAGUGUAAGUGCUCUCAGCAUUCCACUGAGCACGUCCCGUUCUGUCCCUCAUGGAAUGCCCGUCUGAAGGGAUGUAAUUCCAGCUUAAUUCCAGCUUCUACCUCUCCACACCAUUAUUUACAAGCACAGUUCCAUGCCCCCAUCAGGCCUGGCUGGUGCCACCGCUGAGCAAAAUGUAGUUAAUUUGGCACAUGCCAUAUUUGAACCAUCCUGACAAAACAAGUGUUGGCAUCUCCAACAGGCUCAGGAUCCCACAAUUGCUCCCUGAAGGGCUUUGGAAGGGAAUUCAGGGAGUCAUGGGAAGCUGUGGAACCCGAGGAGAUCAUCAUGGGGUGGCACCAGUCCCACAAGGGAACAUCCAGCAGGACCACGUGGUGUGUCCCUGGGAGGGCUGGUCAUGGUGGCUCCCUGGUCACUGCUGGAGAGGGGUUUGCUGAGUGCACCCACACAGGCUGCUGGCUGGGCACAGGUUGCCCAGAGAAGCUGUGGCUGCCCCUGGAUCCCUGGAAGUGUCCAAGGCCAGGUUGGACAGGGCUGGGAGCAACCUGGGACAGUGGAAGGUGUCCCUGCCCAUGGCAGGGGGUGGAAUGAAAUGAGCUUUAAGGUCUCUUCCAACCCAACCCAUCCUGGGAUUCUGUGGGUCUGCAGCUCCAGAUUUAGGUGUUGGCCAGGGCUGGGGAUGAUGCCACGAGUCAAGGGAGCACCACAAGAGCAGCCUCCUCACAGGGGUCUGACUCCUGUAGCCUUUGGCCAUCCCAGCACAGAACCCCUCAGGGCCAGGGAGCUCAGCUGAAGGUGUGACAGCGUCUCAGGGGAAUCACCUGAUCUGCUGCUCCUCUUGAACUGCUGCAUCUCCUGCUCUCAGAGGGCACUGGAAACAUCUGUGAAAAAUCAACCCCGUGUGAGGUGAGGGAUUCAUUCCUGCUGCUCCAGGAGGCUGGAGGAGGGAAGAUUUCAUGCACUGCUGUAAGAGCCAUAAUGUGGUUUUGAAAUACACACAAUUAUUGUGCCUCUGUAUGAA